GACGAACGCUGGCGGCGUGCUUAACACAUGCAAGUCGAACGGAAAGGCCCUGCUUUUGUGGGGUGCUCGAGUGGCGAACGGGUGAGUAACACGUGAGUAACCUGCCCUUGACUUUGGGAUAACUUCAGGAAACUGGGGCUAAUACCGGAUAGGAGCUCCUGCUGCAUGGUGGGGGUUGGAAAGUUUCGGCGGUUGGGGAUGGACUCGCGGCUUAUCAGCUUGUUGGUGGGGUAGUGGCUUACCAAGGCUUUGACGGGUAGCCGGCCUGAGAGGGUGACCGGCCACAUUGGGACUGAGAUACGGCCCAGACGCCUACGGGAGGCAGCAGUGGGGAAUAUUGCACAAUGGGCGGAAGCCUGAUGCGGCAACGCCGCGUGCGGGAUGACGGCCUUCGGGUUGUAAACCGCUUUCGCCUGUGACGAAGCGUGAGUGACGGUAAUGGGUAAAGAAGCACCGGCUAACUACGU
rnacentral:rRNA from 1 species